AGAGCGUGGAGGUGGCGCGGGCGCGGCGGUGGACCUGGGGGUCGUCACUCCUGCAGCUGGCAGCCGCCGCUGGGCGCUUCCUGUCGCAUCUCUCUUGCCCGGCGGGCGCCCAUCCCGCCCCGCCCCGGCCCGUGGACCUGCAAACCGAGUCUCAGAGCGGAUUUGCCCUAGGGGCUUUCACGAGCUUAGCAGAGGGGUUCCCGGCGGGGUUCCCUGGGGUCACGGGGCGCGAUGAGCAGCGAAGAAAGGAGGCGAGGAGCUGCGUUCGGGCUGGGUGCUCUCUGAACGCGAGGAGGCGGGAUGCGCUCGCCGGGGUCCAUGAUGUGCUCGGCGCCCGUCCCUGGGCCCGGGAAUGCGGCCGCUGGGGAACCCGGGCCAGGGAAUUCGCCCGCGAUCUCCGCGGAUCCCAGGACUGCCAGCGCUUUGGCCCUAGAUGGACGGUGGGGAAUGGGGUAGGGGGCUCCGGAACCCCUAACGUGGAUUACUUGGUGCAUAUCGCCCGGGCAUGGAAGACCCACCACCUCGUUUCCACCCGUGGAUUGAUGCCUUCUGCCGAACAGGUCGCUUACCUGGAGGUGGAACCAGAGAUUCGUGGCUGCUGUGGGUAGGUGCUUCUGACGGGGAAAGAAGGACAAGAUGAGAGGCCUGGAAGGAAGGACCGAUACAGGGCUGUUCUUCCUCGCCCACGCUUCCCACCAGGAACUUCUGUGGAGCCAGAGUUUGCCGCCAGAACCCCCACAGGACCUGGGUGAAACAGGACCAUCUCUUAAGAGGCAAGAGCUCUUGAUUUGAUUGAGGAUUCUUAUUUUGGAGAACAAAGCAACUUCCAGAUUUGAGAAGACCUGCAGUUGAAGAAGACACCAUUGUCCCGGAUCCCUUGUUCUUCCUUCGCGUGGGAAAUGUUUCUUGGCGGGUGCCUGGUCUUAAGACUCCCCCACACCGGCCCCGGGGAAGCCAAGGACUUUCUGCCACACCCUUCCUCGCCCCCCACCUCCCACGUCCGCUGUGCCUUUGGACUCGGCAAUUCUUCUUGUUUGCUCCAUUAUCUUCCAGCCGGAUACAGAGUGAAUAGUUAACUACCCACAGGUCAAUGGGGUCUUAAUUUUUGUUCCUGCUCCCUCUACAGAGGCCAGUGUCUGUGUGUUGCUAUGCAAGCGGCCUUGGAAUUGCAUCCCUUCUCAUUGAUUUGGGAUCUGGCCCCCGCAGGUUCCAGAGCAAUGCGGGUCCAGGCAGAAAUUCUUCAGGCUCUCAGGAUGUUGGAGGGGGCGCUGGCCGCGAGCUGGACCAUGAAGGCUGGCGUUCCCCACAUUCAGCUUUCUUGGGUUCGGAUCAUAAGCAGGUGUAGAUCUGGAGAAGCAGAAAAUGAACACAUUUUCUACUGACACCGAUGCACGGUCAGCGGUGAAGACCUUCUCCCAGCUAGCAUUUGGGUUCUGUGUCCAAACGCGGCGCUUCAUGGCAGAGUAUCCAGCCACCAGAGUUGGUGUGUCUUGAGGACCUGAAUUCUUGAGUGUGUGCUGGUGACACAGCCCUCUGACAGUCGAUGGGGCCUCACAAAACACAAGUCCUGCCUUUUCCUUUUCACUCUGUGGCCGUCAUACAUACGGCUAAAAACAUUUCCUAGAGAUCAGUCAUGGUUCAGUCGUGUCCAAAACGCAGAGCCAAAGAUGCAUUUUCUCUUUUCACAGCAAAUGAAUGACUUGCCUUCGGAAAAAGAAUGAAAGCCAGACAUUCUGCAUCUUUCCCGUGUUGUAGAUGAUGCAUUUCGAUGACCACUUUGUGACUUUGGUGUCUUAGAAGGGAAGCAGUGGGGUCCUUGGCAUCUCAGAUUCACCACAAAACAGAUGAGGAGAACUUCUGGCGGAUGGUUUGUGCUUUUGAAAUGGGAGGCUUGUUUGUGGGCUUUUACUUUCCUUCCUUGACCUGCAGACACCUCGUUGCAUUAGAUUCCUUUGGGUUUUAAGAAGCAGAGACUUGCUGAUACUGCUCCGUACGUGCUGGUUUGUUUUGAGUUGCCAUGGACGUAAAGUAGAAAGGAAGCAGCCCGCCGAGGCGCUCUCACCAAGGCCUGCCCAAGAAGCCCAAGUCCUUCCAGAUAGCCAGGGAUAGCAGAACCGAACCACCCUGGCCAUCUUGAUCUUCUGUUUGCACCAGCAUCCACUGUUCCCAGGAUCCUACCAUGGUGAUGAGCUGAGGGUGACUCAGUUGGCCCAGGACUGAGGAGUUUCCUGGGAUGCAGGACUUUUUAGUGCUAAACCUAGGACAGUCCUAAGCAAACUGGAACAACCAGUCACCCUACUGGGUGACUCGAGGACCCUGCCUCUCUUCUACUUUCCCUGCUGUGACUGGCUGAUGCUCUUGAUGGGUCUGGCCAGUCGCCAUUCAAAACUCUUGCGUCAGGCAACUUCAUUGGCCACUGGGCUACCUAUAGAUGGGUGCCCUUGGACCCAGCGCCAACCCAUCUUGACCAAAUUUGUUGUUUCCAGGGUCAUAGGGUUGCAUAAUCUAGAAUAAAAGCCUGGCUGUAAACAACCAGCUGAGACCACUUCCUUCAGAAGACUGCUGUGGACAGGUGGCCCUGGCAGGCAUUCAAGGUAAAAUGAGUGAGUCAGGCCACACGCUUCCCAAAGCCUCUGCCAGCGCUGCCAUCCACAGGGCUGCCAUAUUGGAUGCAGUUCAUGACAAAGGAUUUGCUACUUUUUGUUCUCUCUGGCUCUCCUCCUGCCUUCCCUUCAGCUUGCUCCAAGAUCAUGUGGACACACACCUCAGCAACCUCUGCCCCUCUGACCUCAUCCAAGUCACUGGCCUUGGGAGGCAGCCCAGGUGUUUCGAUUGGGCCAACUGCUGACAUUCCCUGCUGGUGACAACUUCUCCUCGAAGGGGCUUCAAGGGCCAGGGUCCCAGCAUAAUUGGCCUCCAACAGGCAAGUCUUCCAGAAGCUUGCAGCCCCAACAGUGCCUGCUGUGGACGUGGAGGCAGAUCUCAACAGGCCGAUGAGCAGGCAGACCGGGCACCAGCCACAGGGAAGAACCUCAGGCCAGCUGCCAAGUUUCAGCCAGGAGGGAACAUCGCUGGAGUUUAUAACCCUGCACAAGAGGCAGCCGGUAGGGAAAGCUCCACCACGCCCUUAAUACCACCGCAUGACUCGUGAGCACCUUGCUGUUAAUUAACAGCAGUAAAUACCACGGUUAUUUCAUUUUGCCUACCACUCUCUCGGGUAGCAACGUGGGGACACCCAGCCGCGAAGCACAGGGUCUCGUGUAUUAUCUUGACAGCGUUCUGCAGGGCUUGCCAAGUGGGGGCUCCAGCCGUUCGGAUGGCUCGCUCAUCCGGGGGCAAAAGGAGUCCCCUUUUUGCUGCCCACACUCUAGCGCCACACGCAGGGUAUGUGGCCAUGACGUCUCUGGAAAGUUCAAGUUGGAACCUGCUGGGUGUUCUUGAACACUCCAGCAAGUGCUUAUUUGAUAUAAACAAGUCUCCAAUCGUCUGCGGGCCUCUCUGCUUCCUGAGAGGCCUCCCGAAUGAUGGGUGGCUCUCACCCGCGGUUGACAUGUGGUCUUUCCCAGGGCCCACAGCUUGGAAGGUCUCACUCAGGGAGCAGUCCCCACCUUUCCACCAAAACUUUAUCUUCCCCAUGAAGAUGUGUCCUCCUGGGAUGUUCAAACCGGACGUAGCCCGUAGCAGUCUUUUUGCAUUUUUUUUAAAAUUCCCCAAAACCCUGUAUCGAGGACUUCUUCAUGCCAGACACUGGAGAGAGAAAGAUAGACGGGAAGGGAUCCUGGCCUUGAGGAACUCAUGGUCGAGCAAAGUAGAUGGAUGAGUAACAAGUUCAACCGCAAUGUUCCAACAUACAUGCCGUGACAGCCGAGGUUCGGGGUGCUACAGUCAUCCAUGGGGAAAGCACCCUUCUAGGGGGUGAGAGAUGAAAUGAAAUUUAAGUGUUGAAGGCUGAAGAGGAGUUUUACGGGGAAGAGUGCCAAGUGCACCGCCAAGUACAAAGAUCUCAAGGUAUAGGAGAGCCACGCAUGUUCCCUGGAGGGAGCUCAAGUUCAUGGUCAUUGCUUAUCUCAGAGGGGUCGCAUCUCGUGAACGUCUCUGAUGUUCUGAUUCUUGCUUCCCUGCACAUUUUCAGCACAUGCUGGUGUCUUUGUGUUAGCAGGCUAGGCCUGCUUAAAACAUCACACCGCAACAAGGUUGAGCUUCUUUUAUGUUUUGUUUCCUCCUUCUCCUCGCCUCCAAAUAUGGGGCUCAAUCUCCAGUCGUUUCAGAUAUGUAGCCUUUAAAGGUAGGGUUCAAAUCCUUCCCUUUCAUAAUUUACCCCGAUUCCCCCUUGUCAACUGAGGCCUGGAAACUGGGAAGUAAAGGAGAUCCAUUGCCUUUUCUCCAGCUCACAAGUCAUUUCCCUCCAUCCAUCCUUUGCAGGACAAUUGUCUAGGCGGCCCAGCGGAUGUGUCUCCUAUUUUGUGGGUCUCCAAUGAUAACCAUUGCCUUAUGGCUCAUCUCCACGUCCUGUGGGCACUGUGGGUACCCUCAGUGAGAUCCACAUGACAGGCAUGAGGGAGGAUGGGGACAUUUCCUGGUACAACGAGCCUUUGGGUUGCUGAAGUUCCAUGAAGUGUGGAAUUCAUCCAUAGUCAUUCUCUCACUCACCCACUGGGAACCAAUCAAAGGGCCAGGUGCUGGGGUUGCCACACUGGACCAAGCAAAUGGUACCUGCCUCUGUGAACCUUACACUCACAGUAUCCUGAUUCAGAGUGCUCCUGUGGUGGCGCCUAGUGAAGCUCAGAUCUGGGGAUCUGGGUGCCCUAGUACCCAGCCACCUUCCAAGAAGGGCACUGCCCAUGGGAAAAUGGCCUAUCCCUUUUGGGAUGGGACCAAGAAACCACCAUGAACAUGGAGCAGCCACAGCUCCCAGCAAGGGUCAAGGUAGCCCCUGAAACAUCACACGGAUGUUGAGAAGAAGAUGCUCUGGGGUGAGAGCGGGGUGGCUGGUGCUUUGGACGUUCAGCUUUAGAGUGAGUAUUUCAUUUAUGCAAGAGAUGUGAAAAUCUGAGAAGCAUCUGGUUCCUCCAUGGAGAAAAAGCAUUUCACAUGUCUAAACUCAGUCUCCUUCACCCACUGGCUUUGAAAGUGCAGACGUCUAAGCCCUGAUCGUCGUUUCUGGAAAGGAGCACGUGAUGUGAACAAGCAUCUCUCUAGCAGACUGGCAGACCCCGUCCAGGCUGGGGCUCCGAGCCUGUGGCUGUUGCCUCCAGUGUCUGCCCCAGAACAAGCCCCUCUACUCGGGCAGGGGUGUCUGUCUGUUUCGCUCCUGCCACACCCCCAGUGCCCAGCAUGGUGCCUGCGACGUCGUGAGG
rnacentral:lncRNA from 1 species